AUACGUAGGGGGCGAGCGUUAUCCGGAUUUAUUGGGUUUAAAGGGUGCGUAGGCGGUUUGCUAAGCGGGAGGUGAAAUGCCGGCGCUCAACGUCGGAAGUGCCUCCCGAACUGGUGGACUUGAAUGACUCUGCCGUGGGAGGAAUGUGUAGUGUAGCGGUGAAAUGCUUAGAGAUUACACAGAACACCGAUUGCGAAGGCAUCUCACGAAGGGUUGAUUGACGCUGAGGCACGAAAGCGUGGGGAUCAAACAGGAUUAGAUACCCUGGUAGUCCACGCAGUAAACGAUGAUGGCUAACCGCUGGGCUUAUCAGUUCAGUGGCCAAGCGAAAGCGAUAAGCCAUCCACCUGGGGAGUACGACCGCAAGGUUGAAACUCAAAUGAAUUGGCGGGG
rnacentral:rRNA from 1 species